rnacentral:rRNA from 1 species
UACGUAGGGUGCGAGCGUUGUCCGGAAUUAUUGGGCGUAAAGAGCUCGUAGGCGGCUUGUCACGUCGACUGUGAAAACCCGGGGCUCAACUCCGGGCCUGCAGUCGAUACGGGCUGGCUUGAGUGCGGUAGGGGAGACUGGAAUUCCUGGUGUAGCGGUGAAAUGCGCAGAUAUCAGGAGGAACACCGGUGGCGAAGGCGGGUCUCUGGGCCACUACUGACGCUGAGAAGCGAAAGCAUGGGGAGCGAACAGG